ACGUGUGUUGGUAAGGCUCAGUCAGCGGUAUAUUGAAAGCUUUUUGUAAAGUCUCUCCAUUCUUUUGUACAUUAUACCGCUAUUAAUUCAACGGUAGGUACUAAAAUUCAAAUAAAAACGAAGGCACGUUAGUCGGACAUCUUGUCACGCCGUAAUUUCAGUCGGGGUUCAUUUGUCAAGGCAAAGGAAAGCCAAGUUUGUGCUCAACUUCGAAUCACUGCGCAUGCGUGAACUGUCUUGUCUUUCCCAAUGUAGUUUAAAUGUUAACGAUAAAGUCCUUUUACUGUCACGCGAACGUGCCACUGUUAAUUCCUGGUCGUUUACCAACAAAUGUAUGUGACAUGGAGGCGGAAGAGACGGACUUAAACCCCGAUAAAGACGACCUCCCAAUUUGUGCCAAUACCAACCACAUGCUAGUCAAGCACUAUGCUCUGGACCUGACUGUUCAUUUUGACAGGAAAGUCAUCAGUGGCAGUGUGGUUCUGUUCCUGGAACCAACUGCUGCUGGAGAACCUGAGGAACAUUACGAGACCCACGCUGCUCUGUUGAAAAAGAAUGACCAGUGUUCAAAUGAUCCACCAGGGAUUGGGACAGCAACCUAUCAUAUCAAGACCUCACCCGAUCGUCAUUUCACCUUAGUGCUGGACUGCUGUGAUGUCACUGUGUCAAAGGUGGAGCAAGUGGACAUCACCUUCUUGUCGGACUCCUUUCCCGGGGUUCGGCCCCGUGACCUCAUCCACGCGCUGACCUCCAUGCCUUCUGCUCUGUGGAGGCGGCAGAAGGAGCUCUUCUCAGCGUGCGGCCGUGCCCCUGGUGUCGAUGGCGGCCUGCUGCAUUUUCACACCGACCGCUGGAGUCUGCAGGUGUGGAAGCAGGAGGUCUCCUCCCCACGUGAGUUCCCCCGGGCCUUCAGGAUCUGGUACGAAACAAAGCCUACUGGGGGUUCCGUGAGGUGGACCAAAGACCAGGACAACAGGACGUGCGUGUACACCGCUGGCUCCCCCAUCAACAACCGAGCCCUCUUCCCCUGCCAGGAGCCGCCUGUUGCCAUGUCAACGUGGCAGGCCACGGUGCGGGCCCCCCGUGACUGCGUGGUCUUGAUGAGCGGGGAGGAGCAGGUCGCGCCUGCUGAAGAUGGGGACACAAGUUUGUUGAUGUGGAAUUACUACGUCACAAUGCCCAUGCCUGCCUCCACCUUCACCUUGGCAGUAGGCCACUGGCAACAAGUCCUUGCUCAGCUUCCUCCUGCGUGUGGAAAAGGGGGACCGGAAAGGUCGCAUGAGUUUGGGGAGUACGUCCCCGUGUCCUCACACGGAGGUUCAAGCAGUGAAGUAGCAAAAGCCUCCAGCCUCUACACUGACAGGGAAGAGCCGACCGCCUGCUCGGGCUCGUCUUCUCAGCACGAGAGCGUCUCUGUGCCCGACCAUUCAGCCAUGUUGGAUGACGGCUUCCCUUGUUCCCAUGGCGACUACCCUUGCCGGUUCGUCGAGCGCACCCUGAAGUUCCAGCGUGUGAUCCCGCACCGUGUUUUUGCCCCCGUCAGCCUUCUGCAGAAGGCACAGACCGGAAUGCUCGCCCUAUUGCCGCGAUGUUUAGCCGCAGCCCACGCAGUUCUUGGAGUUCAUCCCUUCACCCGACUUGACGUUCUCAUCGUGCCAGCAGGGUUUUCCAGUCUGGGCAUGGCCAGCCCCCACAUAAUUUUCCUGUCUCAGAGCGUGCUGCAAGUUGGCAGCUCAUUUUCAACAGAAAACAGCCUGUCCUUGUGUGGGUCCAGGCUGUGCCACGAGAUUGCCCACUCAUGGUUCGGACUGGUCAUCGGGGCCAGAGACUGGACAGAGGAAUGGAUCAGCGAGGGUUUCGCCACAUUCCUGGAGGAUAUUAUCUGGGCCCGAGCACAGCAACUUUCUCUGCCGGAAGCAGCAGAACAGUCCAACUUGAAGGCACUGCUUAGGUGGAGAAGAUUGUCUGACGAGUUGCAGAAUUCAGGAGAGGAGCUUCAAAUCCUCAGACCAAACUUGGAGAAAACAGGCCAGGCCAGUGAGUCCGGCUCCUCCACGGUAAAACAUGCCCUUAACCCAGACAAACCCUUCUUGCAAGUCCACUACCUCAAGGGCUACUUCCUCCUAAGGUUCUUGGCCAGUCAAGUAGGAGAGCAACAAUUCAUUAACUUCUUCAGAUUAUUUGUGAAGAAAUACCACGGGCAACUCAUUCUGUCUCAGGAUUUCCUGCAAAUGCUGCUAUCUACCUUUCCUGACCUUGCAAGAAACGGCCUAACGCUCGACGCUAUUUAUGCCGACUGGCUGGAUCGACCGGGAAUUCCCAAGAGGCUGUACGAAAGGAGCGCUGUGUGGUCCGAGGCGACGCUGGUGGAGGAAGUCAAAGCGGAGGUUGCAAAAUGGAUUCUUCUCAGUCAUCAGGGGAAGGGCAGAAAGCGGAAGCGAUCAGAGCCCAAGGUGAACUACAAAGAGUUGACCUCAGAACAACUCGUACUGCUUUUGGAGCUACUGUUAGAGAAAACCAAGCUGAGUGCAUCCACCAUGCGUGCGCUGGCUCGCACCUAUGACUUGCGCAAUCAAGACGCUGAGUUUCCAAACGGAGGCAAGCCGGUACGGAGUGGUGGAAAAGCAGCAUAAGAGUGUUUGUCCUCCAAAGCCCAUCUAGUUGUUUAUGAGUAGUCCAAGCCGGAUGUCAAGCGUCACCUUUAUUCAAUCAAGCCUCCUCCCUUCUUGAGGAGCAUCUACAAAAAUCAGGUCGACGUCCGACCUUGACGAGGUCACGCGCGUACCUUCCCUUGCAGAACGUCACGUCUGGACUGCAGCAGGUCAGGACUGGAGCCAAAAUACACUCUCACGCCUUCAGCCAGCACAGAUGAGCCGUCAGCUCCAUUUAAAGUGUUAUCAUGGCUGCCUGCCAGGCAUGGAGCUCAGCACUGCCUCACAACUUCACUCGGUUGUUUUUCGCAUUCAAGGAGACCUGGACUUAGAGUAAGCGGACUGACGGACAUGCGUCCUUAGGUGGUUUUGAGGCUUGAGCAAUUACAUCUGAGGUCCAUCGGUGAAAAAGGGACUGUGCCCACUGUACUCUCGAUCAACGGUCCUCAGCCUUUUUCGCGCCUUUGACCAACUGACAGGUGCGACAUCGCUGGUGCGAGCUGGUGGUCAAAUACAGACACGCCCACGCUUAUGGCGACGUGGAGCGCUUCCUGCUUCAUGAGCAAG